CAAGAGGAUUUUUUAAAAUCUAUUUUUCAUUUUGUAAAGAAUGAAAU
rfam:Oryzias latipes DNA, chromosome5, strain: Hd-rR.